CAAAAGCAUUCCUAGGCCAGCCAAUAAACAUCGACCCUCCAGCAUAACCUGGGUCUUCCUCUGGGUCUCCACCCUUUGGGAUAUGAGUGGAACACCUCACCAGGGAGACGUCAGGGAGGUAUCCUAACCAGGUUUAGUCCAUUUGAUAACUGAUGGAGGAACACUGUCAACACUGCAGGGUUGGGUGAUGAGGGCAGCAGCCAAAUUAAGAAGUCUAGGAGAGGGAGACCUUCAAAGUCUCUUUCUCCCCAGUCACUUGGGCCAGAUUUUCAAAAGCAUUCCCAGGCCAGCCAAUAAACAUCGACCCUCCAGCAUAACUUGGGUCUUCCUCUGGGUCUCCGCCCUUUAGGAUAUGAGUGGAACACCUCACCAGGGAGACGUCAGGGAGGUAUCCUAACCAGGUUUAGUCCAUUUGAUAACUGAUGGAGGAACACUGUCAACACUGCAGGGUUGGGUGAUGAGGGCAGCAGCCAAAUUAAGAAGUCUAGGAGAGGGAAACAUUCAAAGUCUCUCUCUCCCCAGUCACUUGGGCCAGAUUUUCAAAGGCAUUCCCAGGCCAGCCAAUAAACAUCGACCCUCCAGCAUAACCUGGGUCUUCCUCUGGGUCUCCACCCUUUGGGAUAUGAGUGGAACACCUCACCAGGGAGACGUCAAGGAGGUAUCCUAACCAGGUAUCCAAGCCACUUGACUGGUUCUACUCUGAGUUCCUCCCGAAUGACCGA